rnacentral:rRNA from 1 species
AUUGAACGCUGGCGGCAGGCCUAACACAUGCAAGUCGAACGAGUGGCGGACGGGUGAGUAAUGUCUCGGAAACUGCCUGAUGGAUGGGGAUCACUACUGGAAACUGUAGCUAAUACCGCAUACCAUCGGAUGUGCCGAGAUGGGAUUAGCUAGUAGGUGGGGUAAAGGCUCCCCUAGGCGACGAUCCCUAGCUGGUCUGAGAGGAUGACCAGCCACACUGGAACUGAGACACGGUCCAGACUCCUACGGGAGGCAGCAGUGGGGAAUAUUGCACAAUGGGCGAAAGCCUGAUGCAGCCAUGCCGCGUGUAUGAAGAAGGCCUUCGGGUUGUAAAGUACUUUCAGCGGGGAGGCGUUACCCGCAGAAGAAGCACCGGCUAACUCCGUGCCAGCAGCCGCGGUAAUAC